rnacentral:rRNA from 1 species
AUUGAACGCUGGCGGCAGGCCUAACACAUGCAAGUCGAGCGGUUGACGGGAGCUUGCUCCCUGAUUCAGCGGCGGACGGGUGAGUAAUGCCUAGGAAUCUGCCUAUUAGUGGGGGACAACGUUUCGAAAGGAACGCUAAUACCGCAUACGUCCUACGGGAGAAAGCAGGGGACCUUCGGGCCUUGAGCUAAUAGAUGAGCCUAGGUCGGAUUAGCUUGGUGGUGAGGUAAUGGCUCACCAAGGCGACGAUCCGUAACUGGUCUGAGAGGAUGAUCAGUCACACUGGAACUGAGACACGGUCCAGACUCCUACGGGAGGUAGCAGUGGGGAAUAUUGGACAAUGGGCGAAAGCCUGAUCCAGCCAUGCCGCGUGUGUGAAGAAGGUCUUCGGAUUGUAAAGCACUUUAAGUUGGGAGGAAGGGUUGUAGAUUAAUACUCUGCAAUUUUGACGUUACCGACAGAAUAAGCACCGGCUAACUCUGUGCCAGCAGCCGCCGCGGUAA